AAUGUGAGUUGAGAGAGGGUGUACAAGGGGUAUCCAGUUUUGGAUACAUGGUUAGGUUUGGCUUAAAUCCAAAGUAUUGUAUCUUCAAGUCUUGUUUUUGUAUUU